GUGUUGUAUGAAAGGAAAGAAGGUUAGCACUCCCCUUGACAAGGAUGGACGAGGCCCUCGGGCCUGAAAAAAAGAAGAUUUCUUAACUGAGGAACAAAUUGACAUUUAUUU
ensembl:snRNA